AAAGACACACUGCUAUCCAGGAUGGCAAAUUCUUAUGUGUCAACAACACGGUGGGCCAAGUCACAACAUCUUGAUUGGGAAAUGAAACAGGAUGACACCCAAUCGGGAAACAACCUGAAGCUUGUGCUAAUCCAGACACAAGUAGACUGGCGACUGGUUGUUUUGAGCGCCCGACUUACUCGAGGUUCCUAUCUUCAGACAACGUCUCGGAGAUUUGACUUCCAACUGGAUUACCCACAUUGAAAGUGCACAACGUGGAUUGUUUUCUCAGUUGACAAACAACUUGAAACGUGCACUACCGCCAUCCACAGGACUGGAGUGGAACAGCGCAGAUCCAAUAGCACAGGCUUGACUUUCCAUCGCAGCUGUAGUCUCGAAUUUCAAAUGCAACAUAUCCAAAAUCCAGCAGAUACAAGGAGAGAACAUAUCUUUUACUUUCACUGCGACCUCUGGCAGCUGGUUUGUGUCGCAGUGCGGUAACAAGCGAGGUUAUCCGGGAUUUGCAAGCAUGUCAUCGUGCAUUUUUAGUUGCCCUCGGAGUACUAAAGUCAAUAACUUUCUGCAAAAACUGUGCAAAUAAAUACGUGCAAAUAUGAA